GACUCUCGGCAACGGAUAUCUAGGCUCUCGCAUCGAUGAAGAACGUAGCAAAAUGCGAUACUUGGUGUGAAUUGCAGAAUCCCGUGAAUCAUCGAGUCUUUGAACGCAAGUUGCGCCCGAAGCCAUUAGGCCGAGGGCACGCCUGCCUGGGCGUCACGC
rnacentral:rRNA from 45 species